AUGUGGCCGUCGCCGCCGUCAUGGGAGGGCGCUGCCAGGGUGACCAAGACGGCGUCCGAGGAGCCCCCACUUGCCGUGUACGUCGUCGACGCCGUGCUGGUGGCGAGCCAUGUGCGACGGCUACUGGAUGGGGGCGACGAGGUGGCUGGUGACGCUGGUCUGGGCUGGUUGGACUACCGCAUGCCGCUCUGGGUAACCCUGCUACUCGUGGCCGUGGCGAACCUGGGGAACAUGGCGGACACCUUGAUCAGAUUUCUUGUCACCUUCAACUGA
rnacentral:rRNA from 1 species